CUCAAAUCAGGUAGGACUACCCGC
rnacentral:rRNA from 3 species